UCAAGUGGAUAAAUACAAGAUGGGGAAUAGCUGAGUAGGGAACAGCCGCACAGAAUAAACUGGUUUGUAAUGCAUCAUAAACUGAACUGGAGUCAAAAAUGCAAUGUUUUGUGGGGAAAAAAGGCAUAUCCUUUAGGAUGUGUCAAUAGAAGUGUCUCAUGUAAGAAAAGGGGAAAGAGCAGUUAUUUAAGCUAGUAGACAAUACUGUAGAAGAACAGAUAGAAACCAGCCAACCAUAAAUUAGAGGUUUCUAGUUAUCACAAGAGCAGGGGCCUGGUAAUGAAAAGAAGAAAAGGAAAGAAGAAUAAAAAACAACCACAAAAAACUCCAAAGCCGCUAUAUGAUUGAAAGGGUGUGGAGAAUGCUGAAACAGUGUUUCAUUACCUUCUGUGCAGCGGAUACUUCACGUUGCUGACCCAUGUCAUCCUCACCAAGCUGUGAUGGGCUGACCGCGACGAGCAGGAACCUGUGUUGCUAUCGCAUUGCUUGCAAAAAAUACUAAUAUGCUGGACAAAAUUCGCUGUGGUGUCAAAAAGAUGGAAAUGAAAAAUACGUAUCAGCAUCCUGCUAUGUAAAUAAUAGGUUGAAGAUAUUGGACUCCUUUGGAUGUCAGAAGUCUUUAUGUAGUAAAGAGGUGUGAGCUUACAUUGCAAACGGAGUAGGAAGAUCCAGAAAAUUUAAAACUGAAGAAAUAGCAGUGUGUCAGAAACCUCAUCGGCUCACGACACUUACGGGGCAAGAACCAGACCAAUUCAGACAGAGGAGAGAAGGGGGAGAGUUCUUUUUCCAUUACUGCUUCAAGGAGGAGAACUAAUAUUUGAGCUCUCAAGUGAACUUCAGCUGUCGGUACUGGGGACAAGAUAUUUAGUGCACAAGGUUGGACUCAGUAUAGAGAAGAUGGCUUUCUGCUGCCUUCCUGCUCGAACUCCACAGUCUAAGAUCAGCUGAGCCCAAGACCUGGCUGACUGCUCUGAGGUUUGCCUGCAGUGGUUUUCUGUAGCCAUGCUGCAGAAGGGAAUAGCUGGUCCCUGUCCAAGUACAACCCUUUUGGCACUUCCCUUUCCUUGAUAACUCUCUUGUAGGCAGGACGCGCCAGCACACCAAGGCACACUGUUGGCCACAGCUGUGCUUCACGCUGCCGUGCAAAGAUGAAAGCACAGGUCAAAUGCAGACUCCAGAUCUGCAUUUAGCUCUCAAAAGCUCCUUUGCUCUAAUCCCAGCUCUAGCAGUCCUUCCCUGCGUGGUCUUUAUGGGUCUAUUUAACGCUUCUGCCUCAGUUUCUUCCAUCUCUAAACCAGAGACAAUAUUCACAAGAUGGUGUAAGACCUGAUUAGCGUUUGUAAAAUGGAAGUUACUAAGUAUGUUGCUGCGGAUCUGUGGUUUCAUACAUACCAAAGGCAGAUACUUCUUACAUAAAUCAUUAAUGCACAUAUUGCUGUAAUCACACUCAGUUUUGUAUUACUUUUGCUUGCAGGAUAUAAAGUCAUAGAAUUAUUUAGGUUGGCAAAGUCCUUAAGUUCAUCAAGUCCAAUGGUUAACCCAACACUGCCAAGCCCACCACUAAACCAUGUCCCCAGUCACCACAUCUACACGUCUGUUAAAUCCCUCCAGGGACGGUGACUCCACCACUUCCCUGGGCAGCCUGUUCCAAUGCUUGACCACCCUUUCGGUGAAGAAAUUUUCCCUAAUCUCCAGUCUAAACCUCCCCUGGCACAACUUGAGGCCGUUUCCUCUUGUCCUAUCGCUUGUUACUUGGGAGAAGAGACCGACCCCCACCUGGCUACACCCUCCUUCCAGGUGGUUGCAGAGACCGAUCAGGUCUUCCCUCAGCCUCCUCUUCUCCAGACUAAACACCCCCAGUUCCCUCAGCCACUCCUCAUCACAUUUGUGCUCCAGACCCUUCACCACUUCGUUGCCCUUCUCUGGACACGCUCCAGCACCUCAAUGUCCUUCUGGCAGUGAGGGGCCCAGAACUGAACCCAGCACUUGAGGUGCAGUUGAAUAUGCCCGUACAUAUGCUGCCAUGUACAACUGACUGCCUUACUAUUCAGUUUUCAUUUCUUGUAUGGCAAAAUUCCCAAUUGCCUGUGUCUUUGCAAGAGUUUUUUCUAGAUUUUUUUUUUCCCUAGAUCACAAGAUUGUUCUGGAUGGGACCAUUUUUUACCUUACUGCCUUUGUUUGCCUGGUGUUUAGUAUGCUGCUGUUGUGAGCACCUUAUUUACUAUUAAUGACAAAAAUAUGACCCUGUUUAGGUGAUGAAAACAAAGGAAAGUUUAACUCUUGAAGAAUUAUUUGGUCAUAUUUUCUAUGCAUAAAUUUUCCCUAUGACUUUGAAAUACUUUGUUUAGAAAAUUAGAAAGGGCAACUAUCACCAUAACCCUCCAACAGUUUUGGGUUAGACUUAAAUUUCAGUUAGUUGGAAACCCCUUGAAAGUGGAAAAAAUUAAUUUCAUCCACUUUAAGCUCUGUUUAGUUUGCAUGGGCUACAGAAACAUUUUCCAGUUGGUACUGUGGACAAUACUUUGAUUACAUUAUAAUCAGGAUGAUCUUGUUCUGUGAAAGUAAGCAAUUCACUUUAAUCUUUUUUUUCCACUUUUUUCCCCCAACAUGCUAACUCAACAGAUUUAUCUAUAAAUUAUGAUGAAAGGAACAUUCAAAUCCACAUAAAACUAUGUUAAAUGGGACUGUUUACAAAAAUACGAGGGCAAUCAUUUUUGCAAUUUUGUAAUUAUUUCAAGAAAAAGGUUGAGAUCUGAAUUACACUAUUACAUCUUUUUAAAUGAGGGCCUAUUUGAAAGUAGUACGUAUUUCUUCACUACAUCUGACACAGUGUCUGAAAAACAAUUGGAUUUGUCUGAUUUAGUACUUACUCCAUGUACGCAGGGGAAACAGCUACAUCUAAGUACAAGCUUACAGUACUAGUUCAGUGGAUAUUUCUUUUCUAGGUAUUUAAUAAGCAAGUUGGAGAUUCAGAAAAGAUAAUUUUCCUAUGUUUAGAGGACAAUAUGAGUCACCAGAAUCAGAAGGUUAUUGGGUAUGCUUAUUUGGUGGUGUUAGAUAGGGAAACUUGUUCUAUAAUACAUCUGUAGAAAUGCAAGCGGGUGUCUUAGUUCAUCUGUGAGCAAAAUGUUCCAUGUUGUUUUCUAUCAUGCAGAUUUUACUCCUGUGCCUAAUAACAACCACUAAUAUCUGGGAUGGUAUUCUAGGUAAUUGAACCAUUGAAUUUUCCUCCACAAUCAUAUGCAACUUUGGGGCAUAUCCCCUUUUUCGUCACAGUGUUUACACUAUUUGUUGUAGCCUUGCCCGCUUGAAAUUCAGAAAGACUGUAUCUAUUUUGGCUUGUCAGUUUGUCUCAUAAAAUCCAAUAUUUGAGCCUCUAAUGCUGUAAACUAUUUAAAGGCAGCUAGAAAGAUACAAACAACUCUUUACUGCUCUGAAGUAUUGCUUCCCUACAAAAAUGGACUUGUUAAAUUAUUAAUUAAAUUAUUGGUUUAGUCUAAACACAGCUGUAUUGCAAAAUGCACAUUUCAAUAGUGAUGUUAAACAGAUAUGUCUUUUUAAUCCAAGUUUUUCAGCCUGUAAUAACAAUACCAAAUCUGAAAACCUAUUUCUGAACUGAAGCUGUUAAUUUAAACAGUUGUUUGGUCUCCUCCUUCUACCACCCAAACUGAAAAUGUUUUCUUAUAGUGAAUGGGCUGUAUAGUUCUCUUGGCCUCUCUUUGGCCAUUUUUCUUUUAAUUUUUUUUUUAAAAAAACACUGUACAAAAUACAAAUUGAUUCUUCAGGAAAAGCUCUGUAACUGUGAAGGGACAGUAAAAUGUAUAUGUGAACCUAAACACCUAAGUUGUCCAAUAACUGGGUUUUUAAGUGUCUGUUCUUGACUUGUAGAAAUCUGAGGGAGAAAAAGUAAGACUGGGCUUGGAUGAAUGGCACCAGAAAUGUAGCCACACUGUGGUUUCCUGGGUGUUAAUAUGCAUACAACUAACAUAAAUGAGCACAAUUAGCAUGAGGUCCUGCAUCCACUUGUCAGGCUCAGGCUGAAGUGUUGCCCAGUGAUGAAAUGCAUCCCUAAUAUCUGAAAUCUUCCUGCAGUCUCAGUUUGGCCAUUCGUUCUUCCUGGCUGACAAAUUCUUGGGGAGUGUUCUGCAGGGACAAAAGUAAACACUGGUGAAAGGCGGUUGAGUACCAGAGGAGUGGAAUUUGGGGUGCUACAAAGGAAAGUUUAACUCUUGAAGAAUUAUUUGGUCAUAUUUUCUAUGCAUAAAUUUUCCCUAUGACUUUGAAAUACUUUGUUUAGAAAAUUAGAAAGGGCAACUAUCACCAUAACCCUCCAACAGUUUUGGGUUAGACUUAAAUUUCAGUUAGUUGGAAACCCCUUGAAAGUGGAAAAAAUUAAUCCUUCAGAGAAGUUCAGAGAUACUUUAAUAUUUCUGAUCAUAAGGUGAUUGAACAGUUAUUUUGCAUAUAAUAAAAUCUUUUUAGGGCUUUUUUUUUUAAGGCAGUACCAGCUUGGCUAAGUAAUAAAUCUCUUUUUCUCAUUUGCCUAUGUUUAUUUCUUCCAAUGAUGCAAAUCACUUACCUAGCUUCUAAACCAUUUUUAUUUCUAAUUAGAAUGCAUAAAUGAGAAGCUUUUGAGUUUCAGAUACAUGUAAAGAAUUUAAUUUAUUUGCCUUUUCUUUGUUAGGAAUAGUAAAGUAUGUCCUCGAUAUUUCAGAAUCUCUCUACUUUCUCAGCUAGGAACGUGAAAAGCAAUAUCCCUCACAAGUAGGUUAUCCACAAGGAUAUUUUGCAAAAGGGCGUCGAGAUGAGUAACAGUGUAAUGAAAUGUUCUCGUCACGGCCUUGAGAACUGGGGGAUGCUCUGAUAACAUAGGCAUUUUGGAGUGUUAUUUCCCCUUUCCACCCCAUUGUUCCACUCUAUACAAAUGUAUUUCAGAAAUGAGUAGCGUAUGCAUCAAUUUGCCUUUUGUAACUUACGCUGAGGGUGCUGGAGUCUGCCUCCCGUAUCUGGGAGCAUGCUGCUGCUUAUACAAAUCUAUUGAUGAAGUUCAACGCUUAUGAAUAUCUAAAGGAUGGGUGUCAAGAGGAAGGGGCCAGACUCUUCUCAGUGGUGCCCAGCGACAGGACAAGGGGCAACGGGCACAAACACAGGAAGUUCUAUCUCAACAUGAGGAAAAUUUCCUCACUCUGAGGGUGACCGAGCACUGGGACAGGCUGCCCAGAGAGGUUGUGGAGUCUCCUUCUCUGGAGAGAUUCCAAACCCGCCUGGGCACCAUCCUGUGCAACCUGCUCUGGGUGAUCCUGCUUUGGCAGGGGGUUGGACUGGAUGAUCUCCAGAGGUCCCUGCCAACCCCGACCAGUCUGGGAUUCUGGGAUUCUGGGAUUGUGCUGCUCCUUUCAGGGGCUCAGGUGCUGGAUGUUUCGGGGACUUCAGAUGGCCAGUUUUAACCUCCAGUUUUAUCUGUCAAUUCAUCCCAGCCUGAACAGGUC